rnacentral:rRNA from 1 species
UUCGACACACUAUCAUUAACUGAAUCCAUAGGUUAAUGAGGCGAACCGGGGGAACUGAAACAUCUAAGUACCCCGAGGAAAAGAAAUCAACCGAGAUUCCCCCAGUAGCGGCGAGCGAACGGGGAGGAGCCCAGAGCCUGAAUCAGUGUGUGUGUUAGUGGAAGCGUCUGGAAAGGCGCGCGAUACAGGGUGACAGCCCCGUACACAAAAAUGCACAUAUUGUGAGCUCGAUGAGUAGGGCGGGACACGUGGUAUCCUGUCUGAAUAUGGGGGGACCAUCCUCCAAGGCUAAAUACUCCUGACUGACCGAUAGUGAACCAGUACCGUGAGGGAAAGGCGAAAAGAACCCCGGCGAGGGGAGUGAAAAAGAACCUGAAACCGUGUACGUACAAGCAGUGGGAGCCUCUUAAUGGGGUGACUGCGUACCUUUUGUAUAAUGGGUCAGCGACUUAUAUUCUGUAGCAAGGUUAACCGAAUAGGGGAGCCGAAGGGAAACCGAGUCUUAACUGGGCGUUAAGUUGCAGGGUAUAGACCCGAAACCCGGUGAUCUAGCCAUGGGCAGGUUGAAGGUUGGGUAACACUAACUGGAGGACCGAACCGACUAAUGUUGAAAAAUUAGCGGAUGACUUGUGGCUGGGGGUGAAAGGCCAAUCAAACCGGGAGAUAGCUGGUUCUCCCCGAAAGCUAUUUAGGUAGCGCCUCGUGAAUUCAUCUCCGGGGGUAGAGCACUGUUUCGGCAAGGGGGUCAUCCCGACUUACCAACCCGAUGCAAACUGCGAAUACCGGAGAAUGUUAUCACGGGAGACACACGGCGGGUGCUAACGUCCGUCGUGAAGAGGGAAACAACCCAGACCGCCAGCUAAGGUCCCAAAGUCAUGGUUAAGUGGGAAACGAUGUGGGAAGGCCCAGACAGCCAGGAUGUUGGCUUAGAAGCAGCCAUCAUUUAAAGAAAGCGUAAUAGCUCACUGGUCGAGUCGGCCUGCGCGGAAGAUGUAACGGGGCUAAACCAUGCACCGAAGCUGCGGCAGCGACACUAUGUGUU